rnacentral:rRNA from 1 species
AGAGUUUGAUCCUGGCUCAGACGAACGCUGGCGCAUGCCUAACACAUGCAAGUCGAACGUGAUCCAUUCCUUCGGGAAUGGUGAAAGUGGCAGACGGGUGAGUAACGCGUGGGAACCUGCCCAAUGGUAGGGAAUAACCGCGGGAAACUGCGGCUAAUACCCUAUGACCCCUGCGGGGGAAAGAUUUAUCGCCAUUGGAGGGGCCCGCGUCGGAUUAGGUAGUUGGUAGGGUAACGGCCUACCAAGCCUUCGAUCCGUAGCUGGUCUGAGAGGAUGAUCAGCCACACUGGGACUGAGAUACGGCCCAGACUCCUACGGGAGGCAGCAGUGGGGAAUAUUGGACAAUGGGGGCAACCCUGAUCCAGCAAUGCCGCGUGAGUGAUGAAGGCCUUCGGGUUGUAAAGCUCUUUCGGCGGGGAAGAUGAUGACGGUACCCGCAGAAGAAGCCCCGGCUAACUUCGUGCCAGCAGCCGCGGUAAUACGAAGGGGGCUAGCGUUGUUCGGAAUUACUGGGCGUAAAGGGCGCGUAGGCUGUGCUGUAAGUCAGGCGUGAAAUCCCCGGGCUCAACCUGGGAAUUGCGCAUGAUACUGCGGCGCUUGAGGACGGGAGAGGAUGGCGGAAUUCCCAGUGUAGAGGUGAAAUUCGUAGAUAUUGGGAAGAACACCGGGCGAAGGCGGCCAUCUGGCCCGUAAUUGACGCUGAGGCGCGAAAGCGUGGGGAGCAAACAGGAUUAGAUACCCUAGUAGUCC